rnacentral:rRNA from 1 species
GAUCCUGGCUCAGGAUGAACGCUAGCUACAGGCUUAACACAUGCAAGUCGAGGGGCAGCAUUUUAGUUUGCUUGCAAACUAAAGAUGGCGACCGGCGCACGGGUGAGUAACACGUAUCCAACCUGCCGAUAACUCGGGGAGUAGCCUUUCGAAGAAAGAUUAAUAUCCGAUAGUAUAUUUUCUCCGCAUGGCGAGAAUAUUAAAGAAUUUCGGUUAAUCGUAUGGGGAUGCGGUUCCAUUAGUUUGUUGGCGGGGG